CUCUAAUACCGGAUGGAGGUGUGUAAGAGAGGAGGAGGAGGGAGGGGGGGGAAGGAUAUGGAUUAAGUUAUGUGACGCAAUGUAUAACUCUUAUGAAAGAAGAAAGAAAGAUCGAAGGAAAGAAACACAUUUGGUAAGGAUUUCCUAGAGGUUGCAGGGGUGUUAGUAUUGCCAUGGGUAGUUUUACGAGCCUAGGGAUAGUUUGACAAGGCUUUCGUAGAGGCUGUGGUGUUAGUAUUGCCAUGGGUAGUGUUAUGAGCCUAGUGAUAGUUUGACAAGGCUUUCGUAGAGGUUAUGGUGUUAGUAUUGCCAUGGGUAGUGUUAUGAGCCUAGUGAUAGUUUGACAAGGCUUUCGUAGAGGUUGUUGUGUUAGUAUUGCCAUGGGUAGUGUUAUGAGCCUAGUGAUAGUUUGACAAGGCUUUCGUAGGGGUUGUGAUGUUAGUAUUGCCAUGGGUAGUGUUAUGAUCCUAGUGAUUGCUCGUCAAGGCUUCUUCUGCUCCCUGAACGCAAGGAAACUCUCAUGAAAGUCUGACUCAUAUCCUUUGUGGCUUCAGGAAAUAUAGGUAAUACGUAUUUGUAACCGAGAUAAUUGAGAUAGUUGACGUAGCGAACACACAAAGUAACCAACCAUAUUAAUUUUACUGUUAGGAGAAUGGAAAGAAAGGAUAGGAAAGGGAAGGGAAGGGAAGGUAAGGAAGCAAUAGGUUAGGAAAGGUUGAAAAAGGCGAACAUUAGCUAACCAGGAAAGGAAAGGAAGGGAAGGAGGGGAGAAACAUCUAACAGAGUAGGUAUAGAGAAAGCGAUCAUUGUAACCAGGAAAGGAAAGGAAGGAAGCAAUAGGUUGGGAAAGGUUGAAAAAGGCGAACAUUAACUAACCAGGAAAGGAAAAGAAGGAAGGAAAGGAGAAACAGCUAAAAGAAAAGGUAUAGAGAAAGCGAUCAUUGUAACCAGGAAAGGAAAGGAAGGGAAAGGAAGUAAGUUAUAGGUUAGGAAAGGAUGAAAAAAGGCGAACCAGGAAAGGAAAGAAAGGAAGGAAUGUCUUAGGAAAGGGUGAAAAAGGUGAUCAUUGCUAACCAGGAUUGACCAACGAACCGGAACUGACCACCAAGGCAACACGUCACUCACUGCCUGACCAACGCUUAACCUUUUACUUAGAAAAUGGUGUUGAAAUAUGAAUCACCUUCCAUGAGCCUGGUGAUGACGAUAAUGAUGAUGCAAUACGAGUUAACUUUCACUUCGUAGAGGAUAUUAAUAGAUUCUGACGUACGUGUUGGUAAGCCCAGAUAGUUGCCCCUCUUUCUGUCUUCUAUCGAUGUUUUAAUGCUGGCUGCUCCUCUGAACUUGCUAACUGACUGCCUCCCAAGACCACGCUGCACACGACUCUCUACUCUAGUUCAUCUCUAUGGUAUCCAAAUCCCCUAUGCAAGAGUUAACCAGUAUCUUCAUUCUUUCAUCCCUGUACUGUCCAAAUCCCCUAUGCAAGAGUUGAUCAACAUCUUCAUUCUUUCAUCCCUGUACUGUCCAAAUCCCUUAUGCUAGAGUUAACCAGCAUCUUCAUUCUUUCAUCCCUGUACUGUCCAAAUCCCUUAUGCUAGAGUUAACCAGCGUCUUCAUUCUUUCAUCCCUGUACUGUCCAAAUCCCUUAUGCAAGAGUUAACCAGCAUCUUCAUUCUUUCAUCCCUGUACUGUCCAAAUCCCUUAUGCAAGAGUUAACCAUUAUCUUCAUUCUUUCAUCCCUGUACUGUCCAAAUCCCUUAUGCUAAGAGUUAACCAGCGUCUUCAUUCUUUCAUCCCUGUACUGUCCAAAUCCCCUUUGCAAGAGUUAACCAGCAUCCUUAUUCUUUCAUCCCUGUACUGUCCAAAUCCCUUAUGCUAGAGUUAACCAGCAUCUUCAUUCUUUCAUCCCUGUACUGUCCAAAUCCCUUAUGCUAGAGUUAACCAGCGUCUUCAUUCUUUCAUCCCUGUACUGUCCAAAUCCCUUAUGCAAGAGUUAUCCAGUAUCUUCAUUCUUUCAUCCCUUGCGCUGGUAAACUCUGGGGCAGCCUUCCUUCCUUCGUCUCCUUACCUCUGUACUGUCCAAAUCCUUUAUGCAAGAGUUAAUCAGCAUCUUCACUCUUUCAUAUCUUCUGCUGGUAAACUUUGGAGCAGCCUUCCCUCGUCUGUUGUUGUUGUUGUUGUUGGUGGUGGUGGUGGUGGUGGUGAGGGAAUAAUCAACCGUACUCCAUAUGCAGACAGUAAACAGAUGCGGUGGUGGUGGUGGUGGUGUUGGCGUUGGUGGUGUUGAUCUGAUAGUGGUGGUGAUAGUAUUAGUGGUGGUAGUGGUAGUGAGGUGAUAUACAACCUUACUUAAUAUGCUGACAGUAAACAGAUGUGGUGGUGGUGGUAGUGGUAAUAGUAGUAGUAGUGGAAGUAGUAGUAGUAGUAAUAGUA